rnacentral:rRNA from 1 species
UACAGAGGUCCCAAGCGUUGUUCGGAUUCACUGGGCGUAAAGGGUGCGUAGGCGGUCGGGUAAGUCUGAUGUGAAAUCUCACAGCUUAACUGUGAAACUGCAUUGGAUACUAUUCGGCUAGAGAGUUGGAGGGGGGACUGGAAUUCUUGGUGUAGCAGUGAAAUGCGUAGAUAUCAAGAGGAACACCAGUGGCGAAGGCGACUUUCUGGCCUGUAACUGACGCUGAGGCGCGAAAGCGUGGGGAGCAAACAGG